UAUUCUUCUGAAAAUCUAUUAAAUGCAAAGAAAAAAUAAUUAAAUAUAUAAAGUUCUGUCAAAUUGCUUGACUAAUAUUUUUUUAAAUUUAGAUUUUAUGGAUGUGUACAAAAUUAAUCGAUAACUACACACAGUACACUGGCAGUUUUUGAUACUACACAAAAUAUUGGCAAUAUCAAAUUUUCGAUUUGUUGCAUUACAAAAUUUUAAAAACUGCAGAAAUUUAUUAGCUAACUAAAAACCAUCUGUUAAGCCAAAUGAAUUAAAGAAAAAUAGUUCUGUGAUUGAUCAUUGAUCAAUUCAUCCAUAUAACUUGUUUUGGGCCAAACUGGAUCAGUGUAUGACAUUUAAAUUAGUUAUUUAUACACUUAGCUCUAUGUGCAUAGUCGAAUAUGAUAAUAUGAACUUGGUUGAUGAUGCCAUACUCUAAAAUAGUAUACGUUUCAUACAAAAUACAUUUUCGAAUGACAUUUAUUAAUUGGUGUGGAAUCAGGAAGCUCCAAAUUAAAUUAAUUUGAACAAUUGACAUGAACUAUUUCUUUUCUUCCCAAAUUUGAAUGCAUAAAACUUCAUUACCGACUGUAUUGAUUUCUAUGCCGUUUUAAUAAUGAUUUUCAUAUAAACUCAUGAGCAUUUUAAAAUAAAAAUAUAGUAUGAAACAAUCGUAUUUCGAUUUCCAAAUGGUCCUUGAUGACUGAACUUCCCAAUGGAAGUGAAAAGACCAAAGAUUAUGUACAUAUUGAUACUAUGCACCUGUAAUAAUUGUAUAUAUUUGUGAACUGUGUGCAGGUAUCGAAAACAUGUAUCAAUAUAAUGGACCGCAUGCAAUAACAAUAAAUGAGGAAGGUUGCGGUAUUUCCAAAACAUGCGAAAGUUUUAUUGAAAUUACUUGUAUAUUGCAUGCAUGUGUAUGUGCAUGGGAGAGUUGCAGACCGUGACAGAGAUCCAGAUAAUGUACAUUGAAUCCUACAACCUUCUUUAUGAUCCUUCAAUGUAGAUAUAAGUACAUACAUACAUACAAAUAUUCACAUUCAAUUACAACACUGAAAUAUGUACACAAGUGUGUAUGGUUGUGUGACCAUGCUUCAACAUGUAAAACCGUCUGUUUAAAAAUUGGCACAUACAAUUAUACAUUGUAUAUGUGAACGUACAUAUGUUUAUACACAAUGUCUAUUUUGUUGUCCAAUAUAUUCAUAUCUCUGCAUACGUACAUAUGUACAUGCACUUAUAAUCAAGCAAGCGUGCCACAUACAUACAUACAUACAUAUGUACAUAUGUAGUAUGUGGGUACCUUUGUUCAUACAUACAAAUGCCAGUACCUUCACAAUUGCACAUAGAAAAUUGAUUAUCACUUAUUGCAAUACAUGUAUCCAAAUAAUUGUAUUUUGUUUUUUUUUUCAGCAUUGGUUUUUUUUUAGAUCUCUCAAUGGUGCUACAAAUACACAGUUUGCUGUUGUUGUAUUGUCGUGUAUAUCACGGAACGCAUAGAGUGCAAAACUCUUUUUCUUCACUUUAUUAUGAAAAACGAUUGCGUGUAUUAUCAACUAGAUAAGUGCUCGAAUAAAACAUUAAUAAUAUACACUUACAUUA